rnacentral:rRNA from 1 species
AGAGUUUGAUCCUGGCUCAGAGCAAACGCUGGCGGCGUGCCUAAUACAUGCAAGUCGAACGGGGAAGUACCUUCGGGUAUUGUACUAGUGGCGUACGGGUGAGUAACACGUGGAUAAUCUUCCUUUAGGUGGGGAAUAACCAAUCGAAAGAUUGGCUAAUACCGCAUAAGACCACAAUGUCUUCGGACAAAGGGGUUAAAGCCUUCGGGCGCCAAAAGAUGAGUCUGCGUCCGAUUAGCUAGUUGGUAGGGUAACGGCCUACCAAGGCGACGAUCGGUAGCUGGUCUGAGAGGAUGAUCAGCCACACUGGGACUGACACACGGCCCGGACUCCUACGGGAGGCAGCAGUAGGGAAUAUUGCACAAUGGACGAAAGUCUGAUGCAGCGACGCCGCGUGAGUGAUGAAGGCCUUCGGGUUGUAAAGCUCUGUUCUCAGGGAAUAAAAAAAUGAAGGUACCUGAGAAGAAAGGACCGGCUAACUUCGUGCCAGCAGCCGCGGUAAUACGAGGGGUCCAAGCGUUGCUCGGAAUCAUUGGGCGUAAAGCGGGUGUAGGUGGCUUUGUAAGUCAGGAGUGAAAGCCCUGGGCUCAACCCAGGAAGUGCUUUUGAUACUGCGAAGCUUGAAUGUAGGAGAGGAUCGUGGAAUUCCAGGUGUAGUGGUGAAAUACGUAGAUAUCUGGAGGAACACCGGUGGCGAAGGCGGCGAUCUGGCCUAACAUUGACACUCAGACCCGAAAGUGCGGGGAUCAAACAGGAUUAGAUACCCCGGUAGUCC